CUAACCCCCCAAAACUGAUGCCAGAGUUCCCUGCCUAGAGCACAGAGAAGGAGUGCAUCAGAGACAGGUGUCCUCAAGGGCCUUCGGAGGAAGAGGAUGUGCCUGCACACGUCUGUCUUAUCAGUGACAUGAGAGAGAGCAGAGAGCCGAGUGUCUCUGCCCAAAAAGGCUGUUCCUGCCUCCCUUGCCCUGUAUACCAUGAGAUACUCUUAAGCAUCCAGGAAUUUUCCGUAGGAAGAGAAGAGGAAGGCUCCUGUUUAGAGGAAUAUAAUUGCAACUAAGUGGCCACUGCUCAGUUCUCAGUUCGUGAGAUAAUGUUCCCUGUUUAGAGGUGGAACAGAUCCUAAUGUCCAUCCUGAAGACACUUCAAAGGCCUCUCAGCACACAGACAUUUGGCACUUCUGUAUCCAGCAUCUACCAGUGCUUGAGUUAAAAGAAACAUGGCAAGUGAUCACACUUCUGCAAUAACCCAAAAUUUUACUUUUGCCUUGGCAACUGCAGGAGAGUGGAGGCUUUGCCUGGACCUCAGUGUAUUUUUAAGUUGUGCAGAGAUCCUGGGGUUUGUGUGCUGUAGUAGAUGGAUUCUUUGUUCAUCCAUUUGUGUGAAUAAUACAUGAAUGAAGGACACAUGAGGCUCCUUGGGCCAUAAUGAAAAUAUGUCCAUUAUAGCUUCCUGAUUGAUUCUUGAACUUCAGCCUGACAACACAAACAAACAGGAUAAACAGUGCAAAAACAAAACCAAAGCUGAUCAGUUGGCACUCCUCCACUGCCAGCCUCCCCAGAAGAGUACUGACAUGUAUUAUUGCUGCAAGUGUCUCUCCAAGCCCAGAUCCAAAGUUAUUAUGUAGACUUUGGAAUGCUUUCAGUAAUGCCCUAUUAUUCACAGAAUUAACUACUGAAUAGCAUCCUCAAAUGCCAUUGUAUGAACUUUGCAUCCAAAAGCAUCUAAUUAUUCAGUCCAACAGCCCACUCAAGCACAUAGCAACUCCUCUCUUCAGUGUUUGCAACAAGAGAGACACAGGAGAGCUGCUUUGAACUGUCAGCCUUGGAUUUCCACAGCUGCUUUAAAGUCCUGAUGUGAAAGCAGGGUACUGCAUAUAAUGCCUGGCCAUAAGCUGUCUCCAUUUGGAAUUUUCUCUCCAAGGAUGCUACUCAGACAACAAUGAAAAAAGCAAAGCAAUUGCUGUUGGAAAAACUCAUCUCCAGGCUGGUUGAAGAAAAUGUUGAUGUCCCUCACCCUCCCACAAAGGAAUGAACAGAAAGACUCUUGGAGUGCUCA